GAUGAACGCUGACAGAAUGCUUAACACAUGCAAGUCUUUGGCGAAGCUGUGCUUGCACAGCCUAGCCAAGGCGGACGGGUGAGUAACGCGUAAGGAACUUGCCCUGCAGUCAGGGAUAACAGACGGAAACGACUGAUAAGACCUGGUAAAGUCAGGCGGACUCAUGUCCAGCCUGAUGAAAAGAGAUGCUGCAGGAGAGCCUUGCGUCCUAUUAGCUUGUUGGUGGGGUAACGGCCCACCAAGGCGAUGAUAGGUAGCCGGCCUGAGAGGGUGGACGGCCACAAGGGGACUGAGAUACGGACCUUACUCCUACGGGAGGCAGCAGUGGGGAAUAUUGGACAAUGGGGGCAAACCUGAUCCAGCAAUUCUGUGGGAACGAUGAAGGUUUUCGGAUUGUAAAGUGCUUUCAGCAGGGAAGAAAAAAUGACGGUACCUGCAGAAGAAGCGACGGCUAAAUACGUG
rnacentral:rRNA from 1 species